UACAGAGGGUGCGAGCGUUGUCCGGAAUCACUGGGCGUAAAGGGCGCGUAGGCGGCUCGGUCAGCGUGCGGUGAAAGCCCGGGGCUCAACCCCGGGUCGGCCGUGCGAACUGCUGGGCUGGAGCACUGUAGAGGCAGGUGGAAUUCCGGGUGUAGCGGUGGAAUGCGUAGAGAUCCGGAAGAACACCGGUGGCGAAGGCGGCCUGCUGGGCAGUAACUGACGCUGGAGGAGCGAAAGCGUGGGAGCGAACAGG
rnacentral:rRNA from 1 species